rnacentral:lncRNA from 1 species
CAACGGUUUCCUUUUGAAACCAUUUUUACGACCAUUUCAUGAUUCUUAAGGUAUGAAAACAAUAUAUAAUCCAUUUUAAUCAUUCUACUGUUAAACGUGACUAUCUUUACCAUAUUUCCGUCAGCAUACCAGUGUGUAUUGUAAGUUUUAUACGAAACGGAAUGCCACGUACAUCAUGUACAUGGCUUUUUCUAGUAAUAUUGGCUAUAAUCUAUAGCAUUAUAUGCAUCAGCAUAUGUACAUAACUAAACAAUAAAUCUGUUUUCUGCUAAACUUUUUGCUAAGUGUAUACCUAUCUAAACUCCUGGUCUAUAUAUAUAGCUACAAGAAAAGGAAUAAUUGACCUUUCAAUUUCAUGUUCAAUCUCAGUGAUAUUGUUUGCCUGUAAUUAGUGGAGAAUAAAGGCUUUUUCCCCUGGAGAAAAAUCCCAAUUUGAAAAAAAAAUGGCUAGAAAUUAUUCCCAAAAAGACAACUUUUUUCCCAAACAGUGCAGUCUCCGUAGUAAUUGUGCAUGAAUACAAACUGAAAAACACUCAUUUAAACAUUUCUUCCCUAAAAUGAAUAUAUGUGCCCAUUUGAAGGUCUAUUUAUGUAUCAUUACUGACAAAAUGGGGUCUUCUUUUAAAGCAGGGUUUGACUCUUGAAAAUGGGUCUGUAAAUUGCAGUUUCAGUCAAAUUCAUGGUUUAUUUUAAAUUUCCCAAUUUGAUGAAAAUGACGCAUAUUUUAAAAAAAGGGUAGAGGUAGUUUUGAUAAAAACCAACAAUAUCACUGAAUGUAACAAUAGAAGAUCUGUUCAGUGAAGCAUAAGUUAGUAGAAUUUACCUGAUCAUCACAGCUUUCAAUCAUGGUGAACAAUAGAUUUUAUAUUUAGUCAGAUAAGCAGCAAACUGGGCAUGUGCAAGUACAUCAAUUGGUGAAUCAACUGUUCAGGGUUACUGCCAUAAUAAGUAGAAAAUGCCAUUCUGCCCUAUUUUGAUUUAAGUCUAGUAUCUACACAAAAAUAUCCCUCUCAUAAUCACCAUUAUAGAGGGUUUGUUCAAAACCUGUUUAAAAGACUGAUAUAUAACCACUUGAACAUUACAAACUUAUUAAUUUUAUACAUGUAAGAAACUCGUUGACAUGAAAGGGCGACUCAAUCAACUUUUUUUACACUAAGUUGGUUUUCGGAUGGUAGACAUAUCCAUCCUCAUAAUCAAAUUCAAAUUCAAAAUUAAAAUAUUUAUUGCCAUAUAAACUUACAUUAAGUUUGUGACAUACAAAUAAGUAAUUAAUAUAAUAUGUAUACACAAUUAUUCAUUUACAGUAAAUAUUCCAGUGUCCCCUGUCCUCAGUUCUACUGACCUUUUGAUGUAGGACCCCAAUUUAUUUUCCUGUGAUGGUGUUGAUGGAUUGAGUAUAAAAAUCAACUUUUUUUCAUCUGAUAGUUAUAAAAUUCAAAUUGUUAAAAAAGUUAUUUCUUAGGUCCCUAUUUAAUUUACAAUCUAAUAUAAAAUGUUUUUCGUUUUCUAAUUUUUUACAUGUAAGGCAUAAUCGUUGCUCUCUAGGAAUAUUACAAUGUCUGCCUUUUUCUAUAUCCAAUUUUGGUUAUUAAUUCUUAGUUUUUUUUAUUAAUUGUCUAUACGUAAAGUUUGAUGUUCUUAAAUAGUCUUCAAAACAUUUUUGUUUAAGGUUCUUAUAUGAAUAAAGUUUACGUUUUGUAUCUUGAUUUGUAUCAAAUUUUCAAAGUAGCUUUUAAAGCUUGUUUUUAUAUAAACUUUAUAUGAAUCAUUUUUUUUUUGUCUGGACUAGUAUUUAGUUGAAUUUGUGCUGUAUCUAAAUUAAGUUCACUUAAAAUAUAGGUAAACCAGGAGUAUACUCCUUCUGUGUCUAAGUUUUAACUAAGCUAAGCGUGUAAGUUUCUUUCAAAAGAGGAUUCAACUUGCAGCAUUAAAAUCUCUUUAAAAAAAUGCUUCUUUUUUAUAUGGCCUCGAAUUUGAACUUUAUAGUAAAAUUUAAAAAAUGAAAAAUGACCAAAAUUUAGUUCUUGAAUGGAAUUGUUUUAAAAAGUCUACUUUCUUAUAUAAAGAAAUCUCUCCAUACAUUUUUGACUCACAAAUCAAAAAACGAUGAUUAUGUGCAUUUUCUGGCAUGAAAGCCAACAGAAAAACUAUCAAUGUAUGAACCUAUUCGAAUCGAACUUUUAGUAUAGCUAAUUUAAGACAAGUCUUAACUGUAGUUAUUUUAUACACAAACAAUUUAUUUAUUAGAAAUUGUCGGAUAAUAUUUAUAAUUGAGAUAUAGAGUUGCUACGCCAGUCUUGAUAAACAAAAAUAUCGUAAUCCUACAAUUUUAAUGCGGUUUUUUAUCGGGUUAUAUAACUACAUAUUUCACAUAGAUAAUAUACUACUUAGAUAAGUAUUUUGACAAAAUAAACUCUUUUUGGCAUAUGACUUAUAAUAGCAUCAACAGUACUAAGUGCGCUGUACAGAUGCGCAUUACAACAACUUCAAUAUAUGUGUGUAAUAUUACUUGCUUCUUGUCGGGUUUUACUUUUUUGAAAUGCAGCAGUCCAUUAGCCAAGUUACGUACUUUAAGUGUCCAUUAAGUGAUGAUCUUAGACAACACAUUUUUUAAUUCAAAAGUUACGAAAGACACGAAGAGCUUAAAAAUGAAAAAAUAAUAAUUUGAGCUGCCAACCGUACAAGUAAUUUGAGCUAUAAAUAACAUGAAUAAGGAAGUAAUGACUGCAGAAACUAUGUAAUUUUUGUGUUGAUAAAUCUGUUUUGAUCAUUGUUUUGCCAAUACAAUAACAUUUUAAUUGUUAUAAUCACUUUGGCAGCCAUCCAUGAUCUCGAUUUUUACUGUUUCUACGAAUCUAUGAUACAUAUUGACCCCUUUUGGUUAUUGGACAUUAUAGAUCGUAGGCUGCAGCUUAAGAUUUCUUAAAGCUUAUAUGUCGGCAAAAGCACACAGUUAUCAUCUUUUGACAAUAUGUUGUGGACUUUGGAGCCUACGAUGUUCACUUAUGAAAAAAAAUCCCUUUCCCCUAUUAUGUCGGCAUUUGAGAUUGACCAAUUUCAAGAACCUUUCUUUUUUUUAAUUUAAAUUUUAGAAAGUGCAAUAUUUGGCAAAAUAUGAACCACACUUUUGGUCUUAACACAAACUCUUUAUUUUCAAUGAGUGUCGCUUGAAGGGAAAUUACUCAAACAAAUAAUUCACUACUUAACGGACAAUAAUGAAAAUGCACAACAAGAUUUUUUGAAUUACCCACAAGUAUGAACGUAGAUAAAAAAAAUCUCGGUUAGAGACCGAAUCGGGAAAUUUAAGAAAAAAAAAUGAAUUCGAAAAAAGGUGUAACUUGAAAGCAACUUUAUUUUAAUAUUUGAAAACGAUUUAUAAUAGAUUUGCAAUUUCACAUUUCUUUCACCGUAAGCCAUGAAGUUGUCCUUGGUAAUGCGUGGUACCAAUACCCGGUUUUGAAACGACGUGUUGUUAGCCUAUAGAAAUCCGUGAAUUAUGACAAGCCAGGCAUAAUCAUUCUUAAAGUUGACUACAUGAACAAAUAUAGUAUAUUCAUAUUUAUCUGAGUAUGCAAAUCUUCAGUGUCAUCCAUCUGUUAAAUUCUAAACUCACUUGUUUUGUAGUAUGGCGAGUAAUUGGACUGUGUGUGGUGUAUGUGAUUUCCAAAACAUUAACAAAGCAUCAGUAGUGUGGUGUUCAGAAUGUGACGAGGGACUUUGUGGCGAGUGUAGAGGGCAUCAUGGUGCUUCAAAAUCAACUAGGAAUCAUGACACUAUUUCAAUUACAGAAUAUCAGAAGCUACCAACCAAUGUAUUAGCGAUAACACAAACAUGUCAAAAACACAAAGAACAAUAUCAAACAUUCUGUAAGAAACAUGAUUGCCCGUGCUGUAGGAGGUGUGUUAUAGAGACGCAUAAUGAGUGCAAAGAUUUAAAAGCAAUUGAUGACAUCGUUCAUAAUAUAAAAUCAUCACAUGCAUUUCUUGAGGUGGAACACGUAUUGGCAGAAAUGUUGGAAAAUGUACGAAGAAUUCGUGAAGACCGCACAGAAAACUUAAACUCGCUACAAGAUCAGAGAGUAAAGAUUGCACAUGAUAUAAACCAAACCCGGAAAAUAAUCAACGACCACUUAGACAAAAUACAAGACAAAAUUAUGAAAGAAUUAUAUACUUAUGAGGGAAAUGAGAGCAAGAAAAUUAAGCAGUUGUUGUCUGAGAUUGA